UAAGGAAUAUUGCACAAUGGAGGAAACUCUGAUGCAGCCAUGCCGCGUGCAGGAAGACUGCCCUAUGGGUUGUAAACUGCUUUUCUACAAGAAGAAACCCCAGUACGUGUACUGGCUUGACGGUAUUGUAGGAAUAAGCACCGGCUAACUCCGUGCCAGCAGCCGCGGUAAUACGGAGGGUGCAAGCGUUAUCCGGAUUUAUUAGGUUUAAAGGGUCCGCAGGCGGAAUAUUAAGUCAGUGGUGAAAGCCUACAGCUCAACUGUAGAACUGCCAUUGAUACUGAUAUUCUUGAGUGUGGUUGAAGUGGGCGGAAUAUGUCAUGUAGCGGUGAAAUGCAUAGAUAUGACAUGGAACACCAAUUGCGAAGGCAGCUCACUAAGCCAUUACUGACGCUCAUGGACGAAAGCGUGGGGAGCGAACAGG
rnacentral:rRNA from 1 species